CGUGUAGGCGGCUCAGCAAGUCAGACGUGAAAUCCAUCGGCUCAACUGAUGACCUGCGUUUGAAACUGCUGGACUUGAGUACGGGAGAGGAGAGCGGAAUUCUCGGUGUAGCGGUGAAAUGCGUAGAUAUCGAGAAGAACACCAGUGGCGAAGGCGGCUCUCUGGCCCGAUACUGACGCUAAGGCGCGAAAGCUAGGGGAGCAAACA
rnacentral:rRNA from 1 species